rnacentral:tRNA from 1 species
GAACAUAUGGCUUAGUGGUCAGAGCGCUUGGGUGGUUUCCAAGAGGCUCGAGUUUGAAUCCCGCCACGUUCA